rnacentral:rRNA from 1 species
UACGUAGGGUGCAAGCGUUGUCCGGAAUUAUUGGGCGUAAAGAGCUUGUAGGCGGCUUGUCGCGUCUGCUGUGAAAAUCCGAGGCUCAACCUCGGACUUGCAGUGGGUACGGGCAGGCUAGAGUGUGGUAGGGGAGAGUGGAAUUCCCGGUGUAGCGGUGAAAUGCGCAGAUAUCGGGAAGAACACCCGUGGCUAAGGCGGCUCUCUAGUACGGUACUGACGCUGAGACGCGAAAGCGUGGGGAGCGAACAGG